UACGGAGGGUGCGAGCGUUGUCCGGAAUCAUUGGGCGUAAAGGGCGCGUAGGUGGCGGGACAAGCGUGCGGUGAAAGCUCGGGGCUCAACCCCGGGUCGGCCGUGCGAACUGUUUUGCUUGAGCACUGUGGAGGCAGGCGGAAUUCCGGGUGUAGCGGUGGAAUGCGUAGAGAUCCGGAAGAACACCGGUGGCGAAGGCGGCCUGCUGGGCAGUAGCUGACACUGAGGCGCGACAGCGUGGGGAGCAAACAGG
rnacentral:rRNA from 1 species